rnacentral:rRNA from 1 species
CCUACGGGUGGCAGCAGUGGGGAAUAUUGCACAAUGGGGGAAACCCUGAUGCAGCGACGCCGCGUGAGUGAAGAAGGAUCUCGGUACGUAAAGCCCUAUCAGCAGGGAAGAAAAUGAAGGUACCUGACUAAGAAGCCCCGGCUAACUAAGUGCCAGAAGCCGCGGUAAAUCGUAGGGGGCAAGCGUUAUCCGGAUUUACUGGGGGUAAAGGGAGCGUAGACGGGAGCACAAGUCUGGAGUGAAAUCCCGGGGCUUAACCCCGGAACUGCAUUGGAAACUGUGCGGCUGGAGUGCAGGAGGGGUAAGCGGAAUGCCUAGUGUAGCGGUGAAAUGCGUAGAUAUUAGGAGGAACACCGGUGGCGAAGGCGGCUUACUGGACUGUAACUGACGUUGAGGCUCGAAAGCGUGGGGAGCAAACAGGAUUAGAUACCCCAGUAGUC